AUCAUUCUGAGGGAUCAAAGCAAUGUGAGUGUUGUGUAGGUUGGCAUUGCUUUGAAGGCUGUUAGAAAGAUCACUGGCUAUGCUUGAAAGGUAUGGCAAAUGGUGCCGAGUCCUCUGGUUGUUGCUAUUAUUUUUUCAUCAUUUGUUAUAAACUCUGAAUGGCAGUUGUAAGGGUCUAUAACUAUUGCACAAGCAUGGCAAAUUGUUGCUGGUCUUUCACGACCAC
rnacentral:lncRNA from 1 species